rnacentral:rRNA from 1 species
AACGAACGCUGGCGGCAUGCUUUACACAUGCAAGUCGAACGGUAACAGGCCGUAAGGUGCUGACGAGUGGCGAACGGGUGAGUAAUGCAUCGGAACGUGCCCAGUCGUGGGGGAUAACGCAGCGAAAGCUGUGCUAAUACCGCAUACGAUCUGUGGAUGAAAGCGGGGGACCUUCGGGCCUCGCGCGAUUGGAGCGGCCGAUGUGAGAUUAGGGAGUUGGGGGGGUAAAGGCUCACCAAGCCGACGAUCUGUAGCUGGUCUGAGAGGACGACCAGCCACACUGGGACUGAGACACGGCCCAGACUCCUACGGGAGGCAGCAGUGGGGAAGUUUGGACAAUGGGCGCAAGCCUGAUCCAGCAAUGCCGCGUGCAGGAAGAAGGCCUUCGGGUUGUAAACUGCUUUUGUACGGAGCGAAAAGGCUCCCUCUAAUACAGGGGGCUCAUGACGGUACCGUAAGAAUAAGCACCGGCUAACUACGUGCCAGCCGCCGCCGUAACAC